UGAUCUUAGCCAUUCUGACUGGUGUGAGGUGGAAUCUCAGGGUUGUUUUGAUUUGCAUUUCCCUGAUGAUUAAGGAGGUGACAUUCUUAAUUUGAUUCCUACAUUUUUGUGACACAUCUCCCCCUCCUCCCCCUCCUCUUCCUCCUUUUGACAGUUUUAUCAUGGCAGUAUUGACUCACUUUGAAUUCUGUUAUCACCUUUCCUUUCCCAUCAAUGCCCUUCUUGUACACGAUCGAGGAAAAUGACAUCUCCACAAUAGCAAUCAUUAACAAUCAACAGCUCCUUAGUAGAGUUCUGGGUCAGCGUGGUGUGCAGGCAUCUGCUACUAUUGCAUGUCCAUAAUUUUAACAGACAUGUAACAAAUAUCUACACAACACUGCUUCAUGGCUCUCCUCCCCAUCCUUUGAUUUAAAUUUGUCAGGAGUAAUUAGAUGUGGUUUCUAUAACUUUAGUCUCACUUGACUCUUCAAACACUCUGAAGAGAAAGUAUGUAUUUUGGUGUGGCAAGAGCAAUUAAAAUUGAUGUCAUAAACUAUUGAAAUGAAGUUUCUCACUUUUCUGAGUAUCAUUGCAACACCUAUUGCUACACAUCAUUGGUAUUGCUACCCUGGAGAUCCUAGACAAGUUCUUUCUUUGCAUUUCAUCAUUCCCGUUCAGUAUUGCUGGGAUGAUGGGGGCUUAGCAAACACUUUUAAGGGAUCUCUUUAAUGCUUACUGACUGAAAAAAAAAAUAGUGGUAAUGUGUAAUCUUAGAUCACAAGUAGUUUACGUAUGGUAGGAGAUUCAGGCUUGAGCAACAGUGGUGGACACACUAAUUUUAUCACUGAAUUAUGUAUGCAGUGUGUGAGAACAAAUGGAAAAAGAGAAGGUCUGAUUCAAACUGAGCAUGGGCCUGAAGUUAGGUCAGAAAGUUUAGCCAGAUUUUUUUUUUUUUUUGUAUUUUUCUACCAUCCUUUCCUGGCACCACAUUAUGUUAUAAAGUGUUUGAAAUGAUACUAAAAAUGCCUUCCAAUUUUCCAUUUAAUAUAGCUAGAAAGGAGUUCAUCUGGUCAGCCACUGGUUCAUUGGUUGAGUUCAGAGUCACACUUUGAUCCAAUGAAUGGUUUUUAUUGCUUCAUACCUUUCCAGAGAAUUAUAGUCAGUCUUAUGUUUUAUUUUCUUGAACUCAGAUUGCAUCUGAAACUUUGGCUAUCAUCCAUCAUCUUAGAUGUCAUGGAAAAAUUCGAAAAUAAGCACCAUUUUUCAGCCUUCCAGCAUAAAACAAUAAAUAAAUAAAAUAAAACACCUCACCAAUUCAUGUAUGAUUUACCAGGUCAUCUCUCUUACCUUUCUAAGAAAAAAAAAAAUCCUUAUCACUGUACUUGAAAGGGUCCAUAAAUAAUGACAAAUCUAAAGUAUGUAAAAACAAUGAUCAGUUUAAUUUCAUGACAUAUCUGUAUUUAAAAUGUGAAGCUGCUUUAUCUAGAUAUAUUAAUGUUUACUGGGACAAAUGUUACUGAAAACCAUUAAACAUUUGACAUUGUAUUUUCAGUGUUAGGAUUCUAUUUGUUUUUUGUUUUUUUAAAUUUUUCCGACAUCAUCUUUUCAGUCAUUUUGAAUAUAAACUUUCUUGUCCUAAGUGUCACUAUAGAAGUGCUUUAAAAUCAUUGCUUGCUUUGCACAUCUGCAUCCCAGGAAAGAUGGUCUCCUUAGGUCAUUUUCCUCACUACAGAUUUGAGUAGCAAUGCUUUUUUUAUCCCUCGUGAAGCAAUUGUGAAUUAUAUACUAGAUUUUGUGAGUCACUGAACAAACAUUGGAUUGUAUUAUUUUUAUUCAAACAAUGUGUGUGUGUGUGUGUGUGUGUGUGUGUGUGUGUGUGUGUGUGGUGUGUGCAUGUUUUGUCACAAUUCCAUAUUUACCCCUACCAUUGUGGGUCACAACUGAAUUUUGUGUUCUGAGCUGAAUUAUUUUUUUUCUGGAUAGUUCAGAAUCCUGUAGAUUGGCAUCACUCAUAUUUAGCAUUUACCCCACCUCUUCUCAGACUCCCCUUCUCAGGGCUUUAGGUCUUUCUCUACACCUGCACAGGAUUCCCUAUUCUGUUUUGUAAACCAUUGACACUAGGGCAUUACUUUUAUUUACACAACUUGACUGCACUAGAAAGAAAGCAAAGCAAGUAGUUGACAGUCAUCAGAAAGUGCAGUGCUAACUGGUUGUUAUCGUGUAGAAGAAUGCGAAUCGAUCCAUACUUAUCUCCUUGUACUAAGGUCAAAUCUAAGUGGAUCAAGGAACUUCACAUAAAACCAGAGACACUGAAACUUAUAGAGGAGAAAGUGGGGAAAAGCCUUGAAGAUAUGGGCACAGGGGAAAAAUUCCUGAACAGAACAGCAAUGGCUUGUGCUGUAAGAUCGAGAAUCGACAAAUGGGACCUAAUGAAACUCCAAAGUUUCUGCAAGGCAAAAGACACCGUCAAUAAGACAAAAAGACCACCAACAGAUUGGGAAAGGAUCUUUACCUAUCCUAAAUCAGAUAGGGGACUAAUAUCCAACAUAUAUAAAGAACUCAAGAAGGUGGACUUCAGAAAAUCAAAUAACCCCAUUAAAAAAUGGGGCUCAGAACUGAACAAAGAAUUCUCACCUGAGGAAUACCGAAUGGCAGAGAAGCACUUGAAAAAAUGUUCAACAUCCUUAAUCAUCAGGGAAAUGCAAAUCAAAACAACCCUGAGAUUCCACCUCACACCAGUCAGAAUGGCUAAGAUCAAAAAUUCAGGUGACAGCAGAUGCUGGCGAGGAUGUGGAGAAAGAGGAACACUCCUCCAUUGUUGGUGGGAGUGCAGGCUUGUACAACCACUCUGGAAAUCAGUCUGGCGGUUCCUCAGAAAACUGGACAUAGUACUACCGGAGGAUCCAGCAAUACCUCUCCUGGGCAUAUAUCCAGAAGAUGCCCCAACAGGUAAGAAGGACACAUGCUCCACUAUGUUCAUAGCAGCCUUAUUUAUAAUAGCCAGAAGCUGGAAGGAACCUAGAUGCCCCUCAACAGAGGAAUGGAUACAGAAAAUGUGGUACAUCUACACAAUGGAGUACUACUCAGCUAUUAAAAAGAAUGAAUUUAUGAAAUUCCUAGCCAAAUGGAUGGACCUGGAGGGCAUCAUCCUGAGUGAGGUAACACAUUCACAAAGAAACUCACACAAUAUGUAUUCACUGAUAAGUGGAUAUUAGCCCCAAACCUAGGAUACCCAAGAUAUAAGAUAUAAUUUGCUAAACACAUGAAACUCAAGGAGAAUGAAGACUGAAGUGUGGACACUAUGCCCCUCCUUAGAUUUGGGAACAAAACACCCAUGGAAGGAGUUACAGAGACGGAGUUUGGAGCUGAGAUGAAAGGAUGGACCAUGUAGAGACUGCCAUAGCCAGGGAUCCACCCCAUAAUCAGCAUCCAAACGCUGACACCAUUGCAUACACUAGCAAGAUUUUAUUGAAAGGACGCAGAUGUAGCUGUCUCUUGUGAGACUAUGCCGGGGCCCAGCAAACACAGAAGUGGAUGCUCACAGUCAGCUAAUGGAUGGAUCAUAGGGCUCCCAAUGGAGGAGCUAGAGAAAGUAGCCAAGGAGCUAAAGGGAUCUGCAACCCUAUAGGUGGAACAACAUUAUGAGCUAACCAGUACCCCGGAGCUCUUGACUCUAGCUGCAUAUAUAUCAAAAGAUGGCCUAGUCGGCCAUCACUGGAAAGAGAGGCCCAUUGGACUUGCAAACUUUAUAUGCCCCAGUACAGGGGAAUACCAGGGCCAAAAAGGGGGAGUGGGUGGGCAGGGGAGUGGGGGUGGAUGGAUAUGGGGGACUUUUGGUAUAGCAUUGGAAAUGUAAAUGAGUUAAAUACCUAAUAAAAAAUGGAAAAAAAAAAAAAAAAAGAAAGUGCAGUGCUCCGCUUUCCCUCUUUAACAUGAACGCGUGCAGAUUUCCCAACACAGUGGCUUCCUUCUUCUGCAUGUAGGUAUCCAAAUUUCCCAGCACCACUUUAUAAAGAGGCCGUCUCUUUUCCAAAAUGUAUUUUGGCAUCAUUGUCAAAGCACUCACCUAGUUGGAACUGUGUGAGUUUAUGUGGGUGUCUUUUGUUCAAUGGUUCUACAUACCUGUUUUUGUUUCAGUACUGUGUUUAUUUUUUUUAAUUAAUACUAUAUCUCUGUUGUCUAACUAACUUGAAAUGUGUUUGGUGGUAGCUUCGCCAUUUUCUUCUUUCAAUUUUAAAUUUUAUUUAUUGUCACUUUGAGCAAGAAGCAUAUGCAUGCCUGUGGGAGAGUGUACAUCAGAACACAUCUUAUGGGAAUUCCAGGCCUAGAAGUUUAGUCCUCAGUUUCUAGGGCAAGUGCUAUUACCAACUGAGUCAACUUUUCCUCCCACAGGAUUGCAUUGACUAUCCAUGAUCUUGUGUGCUUCCAAAUGAAUAUUAGGAUUCUCCUUUUCUAAUCCUGUGAAGAAAGGCAUUGGAAACUUGGUGGGAAUCAUGUUGAAUCUGUAGAUAGCUUUUGGGUCCCAUGGCCAUGUUCUCAGUAUUCUUUGUUUCACUACAUGAUGAGAGGCCUUUGGUCUUCACACCUUUGUUAGCUCCUUGAGUGUAUUAUAGGUUUCAUAGUUAAAGAUCUUGUAACUUCCCUAGUUAGAUUUAUUCCAAGGGUUUUGCUCCUUCUCAAAAGUGAAAGAGGUUGUUUCCUUAUUUCUUUCUCAUCAUGCUUGCUGUUGGUGAAUUAGAAGGCUAUUGAUGUGCGAAUGUUAAUUUUGCGUCCUGACACUUUGCUGAAAGUGUUUAUCAGUUCUGAUAGUUUCUAUGACAUCUGUGUAGGGUCUAAUGUGGAUAAAUCAUAUCAUCUCUACAUAAAGAUAUUGGACUCUUUCCUGAUAUAUCUUUAUCUCCUUUAUUGUCAUCUCAAUAUUUUAGUCAAUACUUCCAUUACUAUAUUGAAUGAAAAAAAUGUUGCCAGAUGGUUAAAAGAAAAAUAGAAGCAACCAUUUAGUUGAUUUUCUGAGUGAUCUUCGUCUCAUAUUGUAACAAACUCUCUACCAAACUUGUCCUUUUUGAACUCAUUUUUUAUAUACAUCUACAAAUAAUGAUUCUUAUUUCUUAAGGGACAAUGAGUAAUAAUAAUAACAUGGACAUGAUAUAUCAUACAUGCAUGUAGUAAGUCACAUAUAUUUUACGGUUGCUGUGUGACAAAUGCUCAGAGAGUGAUUUUAAAACUCUGUUCUGCAGUUUUUAUUUAAAUUGUAAAUUCCACUUUGCAGUUGCCAUCUAACAUUUUAGAAGUAUUAUCAGAAAUUCAAAUGUUUAAUACACAGUGGGUCACAAAUAUUACUACCAAAAACCCUGAAAAUCUCUAUGAGUAUGCAGCUUCUCUUACCUCUCCUUGGAGAUAGAGAUUCAUCUUUCAUGCAUUCUAGAUCGAGAAACAGCAUAAGCCCUCUUACUGUAAAAAUGUCCUCUGAAUUUCUCGUCCCGCUCUUGUGUGUGAGCCCAUUUUUCAUCACUUCAGUGGAAGCCUUGAAGCAGGCUACUUUAUAAAGAAAGGACUUUAAUUUAGCUUAUGAUUGUGGGAAUUCUAGGGCAUGUAACUGGUAUUGUCUUAUAACAAGUACAUUACGAAAAAUAGCACCACACUGGUGGGAGCGUUUGUGGGAAUCCAGACCACACUGCAGAGUAGGAAGUGUAAGAAUAACUCAGCACUCAAGCUGGGGGUAUCAUUCACAGUAGUUCUCACAGGGGCUAACACAGGAUCCCAGAAGAAGGCAUUCUCCAUAACUCAAAGGCCUCCCUCUAGGCUCUUAAAAGUCCAGUUACAUCACCACCACUCUGCAAACUAAGCCUUCCACACAGAAGCCCUUAAAGGACAACUCACACCUGAGUUUUUUUUUUUUUUUCCUUUGCGAUUAAUGAAUUGAUAGCUCAAACGGUUGCUCAUGGUAAAUAGAAUUUUUUUCAAAAACAAUUUUUUAUUAGAUAUUCUCUUCAUUUACAUUUCAAAUGCUAUCCCAAAAGUCCCCUAUACCCACCCCUGCCCUGCUCCCCAACUCACCCACUCCUGCUUCCUGGCCCUGGCAUUUCCCUGUACUGGGGCAUAUAAUCUUCGCAAGACCAAGGGCCUCUCCUCCAAUUAAUGGCCUACUAGGCCAUCCUUUGCUGCAUAUACAACUAGAGACAAGAGCCCCGGGGGGGGGGGGGGGGUACUGAUGAGUUCAUAUUGUUGUUCCACCUAUAGGAUUGCAGACCCCUUCAGCUACUUGGGUACUUUCUCUAGCUCCUCCAUUGGGGGCCCUGUGUUCCAUCCAAUAGAUGACUGUGAGCAUCCACUUCUGUAUUUGCCAGGCGGUAAAUGAAUUUUUUUUGUGUGUGCAGUGUGUUCUACCUAUGUAUCAAGAGAUGGCUUAAUUAAUACAGAAAGCGUCUCUCACUGUAAGUUAGAAAAUAAAUGAUUAGUGUUUAUGAUCAAAAUACCUCCUCUCUUGCUAACUGGAAGUUAUUUGUUACCUAUAAGGUUAGUAUGCAGGCUUUCUGAGUACAUUUGCUGUCGUCUCCUUUCGUCAGAUUUUAAGCCAAGAGAAAAAUUACACAAGAAAUCAAGUAAUAAAUAGAGUUUAUUUAGAGGGUUGAAUAUAUAAAUACAAAUGCAUCCCACCAUCCCCCAAACUCUACAGUAAAUGUCUUGCUAAUAAUGAUGAUUCUGACUCAGACCGUUUUUCUCUUCAGGAAUAGCUGCUCUCUUUUAUAGAUUCUGCUUCAUAUACCAAGAAAAAGACUAAAUUAUUUUCAAAAGAUUUUUUUAAAAGAAUUAAAUUGAAACUAUGCUAUUUGUUUUUCUUUUGUGUGCCUUAAGCUCAUGAGAAAAUUCGAUGGCCAGAGCAUCCCAAUCUCUGAAAAUUUUAGAAUGUACUAUUGUACGGAGAUUUUUUUUUUCAACCAAAAAGUUGCUGUUUGAAAGGUUUCAUUUAAUUUUACGCUAUAUUACUUUCCUGGCAAGAAACUUUUAAUUGUCCGACAGAGAAUGUAAGGGAAAGAACCACAGGCACAUAUGUGAGCUGUUCUUGCUUCCACAUGUAAGCAGUUUAUUGAUUUGUGAUUUUUUAAAAUUAGAAUAUUGCUUGAAUGGACUUGUUAUUUAGAAAGAGAUGAAUUUGAUAGUGCAAGGAAUAAGAUUCUUUAUGGUACAGUAUGGAAGGCUGGGAUUAAAUCUAAUUUUGCUAAUUAGGUUUGCUAACAGAACAGGAAAAAAAUCAGAGAAAAAUGAAAUUUAUAGACAGGAAAAGCAGCAUUUUUAAAGGACCUCUUGGCUGUAAAAAUCCUGAUUUCUCUCUUGUGACAAGAUCAGCAAACAGAGAGGAGGUCAAAGGGAAGCGAGUCAACCUUAGGAAGGAAAGCAUAGUGAUGUGUAGAACUUCUGCAUGCAGGCUACUUCAUUGUAGAAUCAUCAUAUCUGGGCUGUUAGGUUGAGCUGAUCGCCUGCGAGCUGACGUGAGGCAUUUCUCCAUGGUUAACAGAAUGAUUCACUUUGUGCUCUUUUGUAAAAUAACUGUAUUCGUGAAGAAAAACAACUCUGCCUCUCUGCCUCUGCCUCUCUGCCUCUGCCUCUCUGCCUCUGCCUCUCUGCCUCUGCCUCUCUGCCUCUGCCUCUCUGCCUCUGCCUCUCUGCCUCUGCCUCUCUGCCUCUGCCUCUCUGCCUCUGCCUCUCUGCCUCUGCCUCUCUGCCUCUGCCUCUGCCUCUGCCUCUGCCUCUGCCUCUGCCUCUGCCUCUGCCUCUGCCUCUGCCUCUGCCUCUGCCUCUGCCUCGAGUGCUAGAACUAAAGGCAUGUACCACCAAGCUGGCUUUAAAUAGGAGUUCUAGAAAGACAUUUAAUGCAGCUAAGCCACUAAAUGUGAGAUUUUUUGUAAUGAGACAUAACAAGAUUUUCAAAGCUAUGUUGAUUGUGAUGGUUUGAAUAAGAAUGGCCUCAUAGGCUCAUAGACAGGAAUAAAUGGUCACCAGGGAGUAACACUGUUUGAAAGGAAUAGGAGGAAGUGUGUCACUGGGUGUGGACUUUGAGGUUUUUAAAAACCCAUUCCAAGCCCAGAGCCAUUCUCUUCAUGCUGCCUAUGGAUCCAGAUAUAGAAUUCUCAGCUACUUCCCUAGCACCAUGUUUGUCUGUGUACUACCAGGAUCUCGCCAUGAUAACAAUGGGCUAAAUUUCUGAAACUGUAAACAAGCCCCAGAUAAAUGCUUUCUUCUAUAAGAAUUGCUGUGGUCAUGGUGUCUUUCCAGAACAAUAGAACACUAAGACAUUUUCCAUCAUAAAUCUCUACUGCAUUCAAUUAUUCCAAAUAUUUUGGUCAAGUUUAAAAUGACACUUUUAAAGGACAGUGGCUAGAUAACUAAUAACUCCAUCCUCUUGACUAUAUACCUGUGGACCUAUCAGUACCUAUAGGUUUGGGAGCAUUUAGUUACACUGUCAGUAAUUGGGAAACUAUCCUUCGGGGUUUUGGCAAUUACCCACGGCAUGUGCUGUUUUUCCAACAACAUCAAAUAGAUUAUGUAGACUUUGUUACAAGAAUCUUGAUGCUUUUCUGUUACCAACCCCCCCCCAUACAUUUGAAUUAAAGAUGUAAUUAGGCACUGAACAGACUGGCUGGCAUGCACUGUGCAUGCCAACUCCUCUCUGUGGUAUGCGUGAGACAGCUCCCUGCAUUUGUGCAUGGGCUCGUUGAACAAAACCAUUCUUGCACUGGAUGGAGGUAUUAUGUGGAAAAUCUUCUACUAAUGUAUUUCUCUGGUUACAUGGGAGGAUGUUAAGGCUGAUUUAACUGUUCCUGGAACAAGAGGAUAAUACUGAAGAGAUUUACAGCUACCGUAUGUAACUUCAUUUAUAAUUGGCUUAAUUUGCUAAGAAACCCUGCUUUCAAUGACAAAUGAAUAUUUGCAGAUGUCGUCCUUUUCUUGUGAAGAGGUGGGGAGGUAAGAGAAGAAGAGAGAAGCAGCGUUAACCAUCUCACAUCCAUAAGAGAUUCAUAUUUCUGAACAUAUGAGGUACAUUAACUACAUUGAUAAGAAUUUUGAAAGCAUUGACAAUGGAUAAACAGGCAUUAAAAUAUUAUUUUUAGAACCCCUCACUAUAAUUUAGCUAUAAGAAUUACUGUUUUAAAGCCGGGGAGAUGGCUUAGUGGUCCACUGCUGUAUAAGUGCAAGGACUUGAGGUUGGAUAUCCAGAACCCUCAUCAAGCUAGGUCCAGCAACAUGCAUCUGUAGGCCCAGGGAUGUAACAACAAGAUGGGAUUAGCAGACAGAAGAAUUCCUACAGAAGCUCAUGCAGCAGCCAGUGUUUCAAGCAAAGAACAACAAAGAGUCCCCUUCUAAAAUAAUGCAGGAUGGACACCAGAUGCUGUCUGCUAACCUGCACAAGAGCGCUGUGACAUUUGUGUGUGUGUCUGUGUGUGUGUGUGUGUGUGUGUGUACCCAGUCACACAUAAGCAUGCGCGUACGCACACACGCACGUACACACACACACACACUUAUCAUAAACAUACAAAUAUUUUUAAAAUAUGCUAUUUUAUCGCAAUGAAAUGACUCCUAAUGACAUUCUGAUAUACCCAUAGAUCAGCCCCUUGCUCAGCCAUUAUCAGAGAAGCUUCCUCCUGCAGCAGAUGGGAACCAAUACAGAGACGCACAGGCAAUGUGCAGGGACUGAGGGAGCUUGGAACAUUCAGCCCUAAAUGGGAUGCAUCCAUCAAAUCUCUCCCCUCAGGAUUCUGAGAACUCCACUGAAGGGAAGGCAGCAAGAAAAUAAAAGCCAUAGGGGCUCAAGGAGAUCUUCUCACUCAAUGUGUUCAAAGCUCAUAUUGACUCCCAGAGGCCAAGACAACAUGCACAAGGCCUUGCACAGGUCUUCAUGGGUCUGAACUAUGGGUUUCAUCAUUGUAUCAUAUUAAUUAUGUUAUAUUAUAGCAUAUUAAUUAUAUUAUAUCAUAAUCCCUUAGAAGCCUGUUUGUUUUGUAACAGAAGACAGAAAGGGAUUAGACCCAGUGGAAUGGGAGGUAGGAAGAAAUGGGAGGAGUAAAAAGUUUGGAAACUGAAAUCAGUAUACAUUUUGUCUGGAAAAAGCUUUAUUUUCAGUAAAAGAAAAAAAUAGGGCAAAAGGCCUCUCACUUAAAAAAAUAUAUUACUGUUUUUGAGUCGCAUUAGGCUUCCCAGGUUUAGUUAGUUAGUUAGUUAGUGAGUGAGUUAGUUAGUUACAUGUUAAAUGCUUUAGUGGUUCCAGCCAGUUCAUGUAUCCAUCUGUCAACAUAAAGAACAUUCCCACAGCAAAUGAAUUAUAGACAAUGAUAUAUGACUUUCUAGCCAUUCAAUGGCUAAGAUGCAGUUGGUGCAUUCAUCUCAUCUCAGAAAGUUCUGUGAUGUUCUUACAAGCUUAGCCACAAUCUCCUCCCUAGUUCUUGCUGUGGCUGUAAGCCCACAAGGUACAGCAGCAUCACCUACCUGCCUCUUGGAAGGCAUUUGCUUACAUGGGCAGGGUGGUUGUUUUGAAGCCUGGGCUUUAAUUUCAACCAUCAAACAAAGUCUUUUGAUGUUUGUCUUUAUAGUUUACUGAAAUAGUACAUUUGAAAUGUUACAGAUAACUAAAUAACACCCUUCAGGUGACUUAUGUUUAUAUACUGGCAAAAUUUAAAUGAGAUUUACAACAACAACAACAACAAAAAAUCUGCCUUUUCUGAAAUGAAAUCAUUCAGGUAAGUUUGCAAAAAUAAAUAGUAAAUUGCAAUAUGUUUUCUGUUCACCCAUUUCUGCCGGGUACUUGCUGUAAAUGACUUUCAAGCUAAGUUUAGAUUAUUUUUGUAAAGGCCUUUGCUGAGUUGGAUAAAAAUAUAUCCAUAACUCGUCGCUAACUGAGGCAUAAGUUGUAAAUAUGGAAGACUUCAUCAUACACAUAAUUUGGUAAUAAAGUUCUUCAGGAUUAAGGAUAGCUACUUUUAAAUGUCCUGCUCAGCACAACAUUUGUUCAUGUAGAUUUAAGGGGAAAGUACUUUUGCUAAAAAUGUUUUUUUUUAUUGGAUGAACUUGAAGGUGAAAUAAGUCAAACUUUCCACAGUCCUUGUUUCUCUGCACCCUCACCCUCUAAACAGGAUCCAGGCUGCGUCAUCCUUCUUGGAGGUAACUGCCAUGAAACUAGUCCCACAGCCUUCCUUCACACCACACUCCUCACAUCUACCUUUUCUUCAGGUCAGACACCAUGUUGUCAGCCAUCUAGAAUCAUGGCUUCCAUAUCUUUAGUUUCCAUACAUACGUCAUCUUGAAGGGUUUUUGUUCAUUUGCAUGUUUCUGUUUCUUUUUGUGCUCAGAGGUGAACUCAGGGCCUCCAAUUUAAUAAGUAUGAAGUCUAUCAUGAUUGCACUCCCUACUACUUGAAUCUGCUUUUGUCAACUUUUAGCCCUUCCCAAGACCAUCAGCACUGGUCUCUUCAAGCCAUUGACACUUUUCCUCCAUCUUUGCUUUUCAGGAUUUCUCUGUGGAUUACAAAUGACUGAUUGUUGAGCUUUUCCAUUGAUGCCUGUAUUUUUGCCUGCAACAAAAUGGGGUCAUCUCUUAUCCAUAGCUUCCUUUGCCAGUCACCCUUAAAUAUCUAAUUUUGAAACAGCCACGUUCUUUGUAUCAGUAGCGUUAAAAGUCCUGUAUAUCAUGUACCCACAUUGGAAGCAGGCCUAGAUAUCAUGUACCCAAAUGGAAAUGUAGUAACUGCAUGGGAAGCAAUUCUGGAUAUCAUGGACCUUCUUGGGAAACUGUCCUUUCGAGGUCCUGAAUAUUAUGUAUCACAUGACAUAUUUUGAUACUGUUCUUUUCUAGGCAUUUACAUUCACAAACUUGGCUUCUGUAGAUUUUUCCAAUUAUUUCCAAACAUAUACCUCUGUAUCAAAGAAUCUCUCUAACACCCACAUCUGUAUAUUGAGUUGUACACCUAGUCUGUUCCUAUGAAUGUCUCACACACUCAGAUAAGCCCUCUUCCCCCUUUUGCAAGUCUUUAUUUUUCCAUCUUCUCCAACUCAGUAAGUGACAUCACUGUCCCUUGAGUUGACCAAGUAGGAUCCUGGGAACCCUUUUACUUACGUCCAUUUACUUAGUGUCCAUUUACUGAGUGUCUAAAUUAAAGAAAAUUACAUGAAUAUUGAAUGUCUAUUAAGUUUUAUGCCCCACAUCUAAAAGGUUUCAAUUUCAUAUAUAGGCAUCAAAAAGAAGUACCUUUUAUAGUCAACCUCUUAACUACCUUUUCUAAUGCCUGCCAUUGUCUUCUGAAGUUGUAGCUUAUUUGCUAAUAGUUCUCCUCAGAAAGGAGAACUGGUAGCCUUUAAUUCUAUAGAAUAUUUUUGCUCUCUAUUUAAUUCUGUCUGAAAUGACUUUCUUCCUUUCAAUAUUUUAAGGAUGCUGAUUGUCUGUCUUCUUGCACCAGUUGUUUCUAAUUAGAAAUCAGAAGUCAUAUGACUCAUUGUUCUCCUUCAAGCAACGAAUCAAUUGCCUCUUGCUUAGUUGAAGAUGUUUUCUCCUUGUCUUUAAAAUGUUUGAUAAUGAAGUUUCUAGUUCUCACAUUGUAUGUUAAAUGCCUGGGUUUUCUGGAUUUCAGGUUGUCCUGGGCUGAACUCACUCCGUACACCAGACUGGCCUUAAAAUCAAAGAUCUGCAUGCCUCUGCCUUUCAAGUGUUGAAAUGAAAACAUGAGCCACAAUACCUGGCAUAGUGCAAAGAAGGCACAGGAGAGCAAAGCCCAGUGGUCUGAUGGAUGAGUCUGUGCUCAGACCAUGGCAAUGCAUCGCUCCUCUUCUGCCCUCUCUCGACCCUCCAGGGAGCCUGAAGCAGCACAACCUUGAGGCAUGAGAGAUUCGGGAUGUUUUCUUUCUUCUUCUGCUAAGACUAUUUAUAACUGUAGGAAGCAUCAGCAGCUGUGAGAGAGAAAAGUGGUAUGUGUCUUUUAUCCAAAAAGUGAAGGCAAAAUUGCUGAAUUCUGUUUGCUGGACAAGACCAGAAAUGCAAAUGAUACUAGUUUUUAGAAUUUACAUACAACACUAAAAACUGUUGAUUUCCAACCUUCAAAACUAAAUCUAUGACAGUAGCCUAUGAUCUAUAAUUAGAUGUUACCAUCUUAGCACAAAGAGGAUGAGGCCAGAUUUAGAUUGCCUAUAGCUUACCUUUACUCAUUUUCCCAUAUGAGAAAUGACUGUAAUUUCAUCUUUCACUAAUGGAAGCAGUAGUUUACACUCUCUUUGUGUUUGUGUGGAAUGUUUACAGUGUUGGUUAGAGGUUACCAUGUUAGAGAUAUAAUAACAAGCAUUAGGAUACUUAAAGAUAAGUGGAUUGAAGUGGCAUUUAGUACUGAAUUAGUGGGUUUUCUUUUUCUCUUUUAGGAAGAAUAAUGCUAUAAAAAACUCCAUAACCCAGACAGAAUUUACAUUGUAUCUUUGCAAAAAGUUAUUCUGAAUCAGGGAGUGCUCUCAUUUUACAGAAUUUCUGCUUGGAUUGCAUCAGAUAAAUUAAGACAAAGGGUGAGACAUGCAUGUGUAAAAAUACAAUGAAACCCAUUACCUUGUAGAACAACUUAAAAAUUAAUAAUGAAAUGAAGAAAACAGCAGUAUAUCUUAAUGUACUGAAUGCAGAAAUGCAUACACCAACUCAUUUAAUAGGAAAGAAAUUGGUAUUUUUUCAUUUAAAUUAAUUAAAGAGGAGGCCAUGAAUUUGAAAAGAGCAAGACUGGUAUAUAAGAGGGUUUGAGGCCAGGUCAGGGGAAAGGGACCUGAAAAGUGAUUUAAUUAUAUGAUAACCUCGAAAAUAGAAGAAAAAGAAAAUUGCAUGUAACUACACAUGAAAGGUGGUUUUUUCACAUUUUAUGUUUUGUUUUUUUCCAAUGCAAGGGAUUAAUCCCAUGACCUAGCAAGCUGGUUACUGACCUAUGUCUCCAGACAACAGAGGUGGUUUUCUUGAUGGAACAAAUAUAAAGCUAUAUUUUCUUUUGUCCUGCUUAUUUCUUAUUCUUUAUAAAAUCUUAAAGGUAGUAUUGAACCAAUUGUCAAUAUAUGAAAGAUCAACUGGAUCUUUAGAUCCUAUAGAAGAAUUGCCUUAGCUUCUUCAGUACAUAGUGAAUUAUACCUGAGAUUUCUGGUUUAAAUAAAGUUCUCAAAUUCUUUUUCAUGGCUAUAAACUAAUUCUGAAAAGAAGUUUUAAUAAAACUUAAGAAAAUCUUGCUGAAAGCUUAGUUGCUUUUUUUUCCCAGCAUUAAUUAACAUUAUAAAGGAAUGUGUUUGUGGAUUCUCAUGUAAGCACUAAUGGAACACAGAGAAGGUGUUUUAGUCAAAGCUGAGCCAUUAUUAUUGUCAGUAUAUGAUUUGUGCCUUUCAGGAUAAAUAUGUAACAUUAAGAUCAUCAAAGGAGCUUGCCCAUUUUGAAUAUAACCACAUGGUUGAGACCAGGCCAGAAUGGGGGCAUAAAUCACAAUAAAUCUGAGAUUAAAGUUAAACUGUAGCUUUAGUGUUAUAUUUAUUCAGCCUAUAUUUCAUUUUAAAAUAUGUGACUCAUUUUAAUUAUAUUGUUCUUGCUAUGACUUAAAAUUGAUAGAACAGUGUUAUUUGGAUUUUUUUCAUGAAUUAUAGCGAAAGUAUGUGGUCAGAUUCUUUUUCUGUCAGUCAUUAUUCACAACAAAGCAUUGAAGUCCCUGAGGGAAAAUCUGAGCUUCAAGAGAUGCUAGCUAUAUAUGUUGCAGAGGAUGAUCUAGUCGAUCGUCAAUGGGAAGAGAGGCCUUGGUCCUGAAGGCUCUAUGCCCCAUUAUAGGGGAAUGUCAGGACCAGGAAUGGGAGUGGGUGGGUUGGGGAACAGGCAGAUGGGGGAGGCGAUAAGGGAUUCUCAGAGGGGAAAUUAGGAAAGGGGAUAACAUUUGAAAUGUAAAUAAAGAAAAUAUCUAUAAAUAAAUAAAUAAAUAAAUGAAAUAUAAAACAGAAAUACUUUUUUUAAAAAAAAAGAGAGAGAUGCUAGCUAACUGGAUGAAGAAAAACUAGAUUGAUCAUUUUGGAAAUCAUUACAUUUCUAUUGUUUGGGUAGUAAAUCUAAAGGUAUUCAUAGAAAACUAGUUAGAGUAUAAAUUAAAUCGUCCAUCUAAGAUUUUAUCCUUAGAUAAAAACCUAUAUUGAAACUUUAGCUUGAAUGAAGACACGCCAUUUGUAGACAGGCAGGCACCGCAGCAGAGCCAGCACACAUCAUGUGACUUGUGUUACAGUGAACAGGGUGAAGAUGGGACUAACACUUUAAUCAUUUAGUCAUUUUUUAUUUAAUUUAUUCAUCAAUAAAAUAUUUGCUUACUACCUACUACGUGUUAGACAUUACAGAGUCUAGUGGGAUAAUAGGAGAAUGACAGAGCACAUGAUAGGCAUCCGUUAAGGAUAGUAGAAGUACUUUGAACUUACCACUACUAGAGCUGUUCAGGAUGGGCAAAUCCAUGAAUAUUCCAACAUCCCCUGUUUGCUCGGCCCUAUAGAUAGAUACAUUUAGUAAUGGACAAGAAAAUCUAAAAAGAAAAACCCACUGAUGACAGGAGAAGGAAAGUAUAAAAGAACAUAAAAUGUUAGUUCACUUGGGAUGCUAGGUUGAGCUUACGAUGCCCAGGAACACCCAAGUGAGAGGAUGGAUAAUAAGUGCAGACAUGGUUCUAGAGUCCAUGAGUACAUUUGGUGAUGCUCGGGCAGAUGGAGAGAGAACCCUGCAGGAAAUGAUAAAGCCAAUGGCAUGCCAGGCAUGGUACUUAGAAAGGGCAGGGGGCCGGGCCUGAGGAUAUGGCACAGCCAGUGAAGUAUUUGCCUUGACAGCAUGAGAACCUGAGCUUAAUCUCCACUCCCCAUGUGAAAAGGAGAAGUGAAGUGUGGGAGUACACAUUAAACCCCAUCGCAGGGGAGGAAGAGAGCGCUGGGUGGGUCCUGGAUGCUGGGCUGCUACUCCAGCUUACAUGGCAAGUUCCAGACUCACGGAGAGACCUUAGUUCAAAAUGUUCUCAGAAUCUGAGUUAUGAUACCUGAGGUCAUCCAAUGGCCUACACACACACACACACACACACACACACACACACACACACACAAAUGUACAUGUGCCCAGUGCCACAAAGACACAUGAACAUACACAACUACACCCACAAAUGUACAUGCUCCCACCACCAACCCCACAAAGAUACAUGAACAAGUAUACACACACACACAGACACACACUCACACAGCAAGAACAGAAGCAAAAUGGCGAACAUAAUUUAUGAAGGACAAGCGGGACGUGUGAAAGAAGAACACGUGUAAACAAAGGUUAAAUAAAGCCAAAAGAAGAUGAGAUGGAUGACAUACAAAAUGAAAUAAAUUUUAUUCACUUUAUAAUUUUCCACAUGCUGCCUGACUGCUGUUUGACAAAACUCAGUUCCAUUCAGAAGACUAUUUUAAGUGAUGAAUUGUUGAGUCUCUCAGUGACACCCUUUGUUCUUUUCUCCUUACUUCAAGAUAAGACUGAGGAGACUUGACGAAAUAAUGUGAAAGUUCCCUCCACAUUCCAAUACGUUACAUGUGAUAUUGGAAACAGCAAGGAAGACAGCUCUGAUCAGAUGCAAUCUCAGGAAAUAAACAGCCAUCAAAUAUCAAAUUCACAUUUUGUAUAAGAAAAGCAGCCAUAUAAAAACAUGCUCAAACAGCACUAUCAGGAAAGCCGAACAAGUACAUGUCUUUCUACUAGAUGCAUGCACUUUGUUCUAUAGAAAUUGGGAAAAUAAAUGGAAAAGAUCUAUAAUCGGCACAUUGGUACAAUUAGUUGCCACACUUAGAUUGGAACAAAAAAAAAAGAUUAGUCUAAUUUGGGAUGACAAAAUGGUCAAUGGAUCAUGUAACUUAUCAAUAUUAAAACACAAUCUGCUGAGGCAAAAUAGUCUAUAUAUUUUCUUUGGACACAAAGAUUGAAAAGUACAUAUCCAAGCCAAAUUCAUAAGCAAAAUCUAUGUAGGUGACUUUCAGAUAGCUAUUCUUACCAUGAAGACCUGAAGAUGAUGUAGCUAUUAAUAUCAGGUGAAGGCAAUGAUGAGAGAUGGCAGGAGAUGGAAGAGCAUUAGACUCUAAGACACUUGUACAUGGAAGCAAUUAUCCCCGGGCGCUCAGGCUAAUCUGAUUUCAAUGGAAGCAUGUGAACUAAACAGAUGUUGUGGCUAUGGCCCCCAUAAAGAAGGCCUUGCUCAGCCAGGAAACAAUUGGCAGGUUAGUCAACUGGCACCUGCUCACACCUUAGGAAAACAAAUAUUUUUAACUGAGCCCACAGACAAACAUUAAAACCAGAAAUGACUGCUUUAAAGGGGGUGGGAAUCUUGAAAAGAUUCUGAAAUCGUCUAAAAUUAAAAUACAAUUACAUGCUUUGUUUCCAAUGGUUCUGUUUUUACCUAGUAAAUCUCGAGUUAUUGAAAUUAGCUAGAUGCUGCUCCACAUAUGGGCAUAGAAGUAAAAACAGAUGCAUUUUGACAGCACCAAGUUUUGUAUUUCUAGUGCUACACGAAGCACAGCUAGGAUGGUGUGUACAAACACUACCAUCCAUGUUUAGGCACACACUGAUCCUGGUAGAAAAGCUCUUGUGGUAUGCCUUGAGGGUGCUGUUAAUAAGUGUUUCAAAGGAAGUGUAGAUUAAAGUUGAGAAAAGAAUCUCAGUAGAUAAUCCUUAGUUUUUAGGUGACGAUCAAGAUGACAACUUAUGUGUGUGUUUGGGGCUCGGGGUGUUAUUUGGCAUCAUAGGAGGCAGAGAGGGUGUGUGAGAGAGAGAGUGGAAGAAGAUAUUACAUAUAACAAGAAAAUUAAAGUGACCAAGUCAAGUCAAGCAAAAAAACAGGCAGGGAUGUGAAAGAAUGUAUGCCUAGCAUACAAUGGAUUGGGUUUGAGCCAAAGCAACACACACACACACACACACACACACACACACACACACACAUGUGCGCGCGCGCGCGUGCGAGCAAGCACAUGCACACACUUGCACACACACGCAUGCACACAUGCAUGCUAAUCAGAAGAAAAGAUGGGUAGGUAAAGUGUUAUGUCAUUUUCCUAGAUGUUGUGGUCCACCUAACCUAUGCUGUUGAAGGAUUAUGAUAUUAAUAGAAUUAAUGGGUUUACUAACCUUGAUUUUAGGUAAAGCAAUGUGAAGCUACCCACACAUGAUUAUUUUUAAGUGAAAGAGCUACUUUAUAUUUUUUUAAAUAACAUUGAUUUAUCUCUAAGCAUGCUAAUGAUAAAUGUUAAUUUGAUAGCCUAGAAGGGCAACUUAAAGAAAGCAAAAAAUUAUAAUGAACCAAAAUAACGCCAUGCCGUGUUAAACUGGGGCUCGACUGCAUAGAUUAGCACAAAUUAUAUCAAUUUGCCUAAAAGAAUCCCUUCUAAAAUCAGACAAGUAAGGGCUUCUCUCUUGAAUUUUUACCUACUGCUAGACUGUUACCAAGGUCAAACUUAUAUUAGAAAAUUAUUAUGUACAAAACUGGGGAGAUUUGGAGAACUUUUAACAAGUCCUUAAAAUUAAGGGUUUAUCUAUUUUUAGUAACUUUGAAGCCGUCUAAAUUUAAAGUCUUUCGAUGAAAGCUUUGAUCUUCUCAUGCUUCAUAAGCCAGCAUCCCACGGAGCUGUCAUGCCAGUGAUAGUCCUACUGGGAGAGACAUCAGUCCGCUAUAUUGAAUAGGGAGCUUAGCGGCGUCAUGGAUACUUCUAAAGCUCGGCUUGAUUCCUAAAAAGCAUUUUCUGCAUAGCACAUGCUUACUGCACUCAGCUUUUUGAGGUGCUGUAGCACUUACCAAAUUUUCACAUGAAUUGCUGUUCGGUGAAUAAAACUAUUGUACUGGUUGAUAAAAGCCCUGUAUAUUUUUACCUUCCAAAUGGACAUUCGACAAGCUUCAAUUGUAUCUUCGUGUUAGUCUUACGUGACUCAAUCACUCUCCUGAAAGAAUGACAGUAAAAAGGGAGCAGGUUGCAUGACAAACUUCAUAUUAAGGGGAAUUGAACUUGCUUUUUUUUAUUUUUAAUAAGGAAAGGGUGUGUUCUACAUCAUUGUGUGUGACGUGUGUCUGCCUUCAUAUGCGCGUGUGUACACAUAUGUGCACCAUGAUCAUGGGCCCAGAAAUCAGUAUCAACAGCCUUCUCGAUCGCUUCCCAUCUUACUUUAAGUAAAGAUCCUCAACUGUACCUAGGACUAAGGUUUAUGUUGGUCUAGGUUGCUGGACCAGGAAGCCUCAGGAAUAUUCCAGGCUCCAGAGCUGAGAUUGAAGUCGUGCCCUGCUACCCUUGACUUUUUACUUGGGUGCUGCAGGUCUGAACCCGGGCCCUUUGUGUUUCACAGAAAGCACUUCACAUUUUCUUAUGUGUCACUCUGCAUCAUUGUAAAAUCUCAUCUUGUGCAGCAUAGAGAGUGUGCAUCUGUUGUAAUUGCAUUGUUUUGUAGAAUGCGAUUUACAGUGGAGCAGGAUACAUAUACCGACAGCUAAAUUAAUUUUCUGGAAAAGGGGCAUUUAGGAAGGUCAGCUUCUGACAGUGAACUAGUCCAAAAGAAUUUCUAAAAGUAUAGGUGAAAAGCUUGCUUCAGGAAAUAACUUCCAUGUAUCUUUUAAUACUUAUUUUUUAUUAAAAUUAGGAGCAUAAAAUUUAACUUUAAAAUGUAUAGGUUAUAUUUUUAAAACUACUUGAAUUAAAAUUGGGGUAUUUUAAAUAGGGAAUUGCUCAUAUACUAUCUCUCUGAACACAGCAUACAACAUGCUUACUUAUUUAUUUAUUCAGUUAUUAUUCUGCUAGGCUAAGACUCAAAGUAGGUUACCAGUGAAGCAAGAGAAUUUCUGCCUAGUCUUGCAAGAGUUUUAUCUACAUGCUCUAAAAAUAGGGAAAGCUUUCAAUUGGGAGACUAGCUAAGAUUCAGGCGUCAUGAAUUUCAAAGACAAAAUAACCAGUUGUGUUUUUAAUUAUGAUUAUUUAAAUCUAUCAAUGUGAAAUGUCCUUGAGUCCAUUGCUGCUUUUCUUCCCCAAGACCUCCCUUCAUCCUCUUUCACCUGUAUUUGACUCUCAGGUCCUCAGGGAGAAGUCUUUCUCAUGGGGCUAGAGAUGGCUCAGCAGUUAAGAGCACUGAUGGCUAUUCCAGAGGUUCUGAGUUCAAUUCCCAGCAACCACAUGGUUGCUUAUAACCAUCUGUAAUGGGAUCCAAUGCCCUAUUCUGGUGUUUCUGAAGACAGCAACAGUGUAAUCUCACAUAUAAGAUAAAUAAGUAAAAGAAAAGGAAAGGAAAGAUCAGAGAUUUCUUGCCAAUUGAGAUUCCAGAUACGUUAAUUUUCCUUGUUACAGAUGAGUUUAGGUUUAACCUUAAGUCUUAUGCAGUCUCUGCCCGAGACAAGCACUGAAUCUGCACCAGAGUAUAUGUCUAAGAGAAGCCUUAGACUGAAUUUCAGUUCAGCAGUGCCAGCUUCUUAUUUAUGGGAUAGAUAUGAUUAGGGAAUGAAGAAUUCCUCUCCUAUGUUCCUCUAUCUUCUAAACAUGUUUCAAGAAAAACAAUGCAAAGAGAUUAAUAGUCUACAAGCAGGAAGAGACCUCAUGAAAUACAUACUGAGAAAAGGAUCUCAAGCAUGUUUCUUUCACUAGAAGCUAUGGCUUCAUAACAAUUCUACUUCUGCAAUAACUAACAUUAGGACUUUUUAACAGUAAUAUGGGACAGGAAGGGUAUACAGUGAACUUUUGUUGUUGGUGGUGGUAGUUGUUUGUUUGUUUGGCUGUUUCCUCUUAACCCCAAAGAUGUGACUAUAAAGAUCCAGUUGGAAAACAAAAUCCACUCAGGAGAGCUAGUGAUAGAGGUAGAAAAGAUUGAGUUGAAAGGUUAAAAGAGCGCCUAGUUUAAUCCAACAGUGAUCAAGGAGUUUGAAAGUCACUUCCAACCUGAGUAUAAAAGUCAGUGGAGGCAGAAAUGGGAACCAGAAGAACGCAGGGGGAAAACAAACUCUGGUUUACACACUGUUCCUACAUCAAAGACAACUAAAUAUAAGCCAGUAAUAAAUCAGAACUUUAAUAAAGGUGUUGGCAGUGAAAACAUGUUGGAAGGAACUUAGACUUAAUCCAUUAGGCACCAUUUACAUAGAAGGGAGAAGAUAGGAUGCAGGAAAAGGGAAGAAGGAAUUGAAUAACACAAUGAAUAUAUAGAUCUAUAGGAAGAGAACCUAAAACACUGGAAUAUGUAUUAUUAAUGUGAUAAAUGAGACACUUGACUUCUCUGGAUUUGUUUCCUAUUUUGCAGAAAGAAGGGAUUGGAUUAAAACAGUAUGGUCUAUAAUGACACUUAAUGUCUUGAAAACAUCUGAUUCAAGACAAAAGCAAGCCUAGUAGCAGAUGCAUUUGGAAACAAUUAAAAUAGUAGCUUGUUUAAACCACACUUAGCCGCAGAGUAUUUUAAUGGGGGUGGGAGGCAGGGGCUUUCAGAUUCUGAACCACCAAUCAAAGAACACACACAGGCUGGACCUAGGCUUCCUCACACAUAUGUAACAGAUGUGCAGCCUGAUCUUCUUGUGGGUCCCGAACAACUAGGACAUGAACUACCCCAAAAAUUGUUUCCUAUACAUAGGAUAGACUGUGGAAGGGAGAAAUCCAGGGGUGGGGGUGGGGGGGGGGCAAUGAGCAGGAUAUAAACUGAAUAAGUAAAAGAAAUAAAAUUGAAUUUUAAAAAACUCUAUGAGAGUGGACUGAAGACUAUCAAAAGGAGAAAAUGAGAUGCAAUAAAAGGAAACCAUGAUGUCGGGUAAAGACAGUCCAUCACAGGCAAGCCUUCCGCUUGUGCUUCUGCUGUGUUCUAGUUCACUCUUGACUUGCGUACAAAGCAUCUGUGAUAGUGCCAACAUUCUGAUUCAGUAGGACCUGGUGGCAAGAAGUGCUGACGGUUUCAUUUCCGACGUGCACCCCUGUGAUGUCAAUAAGCACCACUGUGCUUUCUUACCGCAGCGCACAUUACAUUUUGAUGACUUAAGGUGAAAAGCAAAUCUGUGUGUGUGUACUGUAUUGAUUGACAUUCCAGACAUUUGGCAUUGGUGAAGACAGUCAUCCAGAACUAGCUGUGAAUCAAGACACUUGUUCUCAAAAAUACAGGACAAUAGCGGUUAUCCCUCUUGUGAAAAACAGGAUAGAGUAGGCUCACCACAUUGCCAAGACUGGUGAAGUCAGUGGAGUGUUCAAUGACUUUAGAAAAAUUGUCACCCAGUGAAUGGAUGUAUGUUAGUUAUUUUGAAAAUUUACUCCUUCAGAACAUUUCAUCACCCAGAAAAAAUUAUAGGUAGAUAGAUGAUAGAUAGAUAGAUAGAUAGAUAGAUAGAUGAUAGAUAGAUAGAUAGAUAGAUAGAUGAUAGAUAGAUGAUAGAUAGAUAGAUAGAUAGAUAGAUAGAUAGAUAGAUAGAUGAUAGAUAGAUGAUAGAUAGAUAGAUAGAUAGAUAGAUAGAUAGAUAGAUAGAUAGAUAGAUAUACAGAGAGAUACAGAGAUAGAUACAUGCAUACAUAGAUGCAUAGAUAGAUAGAUAGAUAGAUAGAUAGAUAGAUAGAUAGAUAGAUAGAUAGAUAGAUAGAUUUGUUAUGCCUUUAGGCAUGAUUUUAUCUGAUUUAUUGAGAUGAUGCGAACUUGUUUUUCUUAAUGCUGUGCAGAAAUAGAGGAUACAAACGUCUUACUAUUGUUAAAAAGUGGGAGGGUUGGGGAGCAGGGGGAGAGGGAGGGCAUAGGAGAGUUUUGGAGGGGAAACUAGGAAAGGGGAUAACAUUUGAAAUGUAAAUAAAGAAAAUAUCUAAUAAAAAAGAAUAACAUAACAGAAAAUAGAAAAAGUGGAAAAAACUUCCUUUGUCUGCUCUCUCUGUGUAUCACUUGAACUCAAAACUGGGUCACUCCUGGUUUUCACCUGUGUUGCUUAUGAAAUUCCAGCCAUGCCAGUGACACUUUAGAAAGUGACUGAAGUGCUGUUGCCAUCAUUUACUGCCAAUCUGAUUGACCAGUGGUGUCUAUUUUAGGUAUUUUGUUCAGCUACCAAAGCCUUUUAGAGAAAUGAGAUUUGAAAUGGUCCUUUCAUUCCCCUUUUCCUUUUUGGAGAGGUUCUUGGUUCCCCACUACUUCCUUACUUAGGCACUGUUGACAAGAUUUCAUUAUCACACAUAUCCUAGAUGCCAAAGCCUUUGAGUUCCUGCAUCUCAACCGUUUCUCAAACAUUCAGCAGACGCCUUGUACCAGAAGAGUGAUGUCAAGUGAUCAUGAUAGAGCAAAUUGCCACAAAAUAAAGUGUAUGCAAGAGCCAGUUCUGCUUAGUAUUGUGACACGGCACCCUCUUGACCUGAGUUAUCCUUAAAAUAGAGCAAAAAUGUGAUUGUUGAGAUACAACUUUCUCUCUCUCUCUCUCUCUCUCUCUCUCUCUCUCUCUCUCUCUCUCUCUGUGUGUGUGUGUGUGUGUGUGUGUGUGUGUGUGUGUGUGUGUGUGUGUGUGUGUGGUGAAGAAAAGUUGAGAAGAGAGUUAGAGAUAGAUUGGAAGUAAGCACUGUGGUUUAUGGAUAGACAUUAUCAAACUGUUAUUCAGAAAACACAAAAUAUUUCAACGGUUCAUUUGAACCACUGUAAAUUCUUUCUAAAGAAAUAUUAUAGUAUUGUAUUAGCAAUAUGGCACUGUGAUAAAUUAGAAAAGAGAUUAAGUGUUCACACCUCGGAGUGCUAUUUUUUCUUACUAAGCAAUUAUAUUAAUUCAAGACUAUGAAAACCAAGGAGGAAAGAAAAUAAGAAGCGACAGGAAAAGUAGUAUAAAAAUUUAGUAUUGGGGCUCUAGAAUUUUACUUUUCCCUAAAUUAAAUUCUGACUUUAUUUCAAGGAUUCUAACAAUUAGAAACAUUUACCUUAAUAGGUUUUAGGAUAACUUCUAUGUACCGUAAAAUUUGAGUAUGAUUUUUUUCAUUGAUUAUGCAAAUUUAAUAAUCUAUCUUGAUGUUUUUAUAUUAUCUUUAAUUUAACUUUAAACUCUGUAAAUAUUGGCUAUAAAUUUUAUAUCACUAUUGUCAGCACUUCAAUAAGGAAAACACUACACUUUAACAGGAGCUAUGAACUGUGCAAAAUCAACAUCAACUGGCUGGAAGACCUUCUCUAAAGGGCUUCAAGUCGCUUGCUAGUUGACUAUUUAUCACAGAAAUGUAUAGGUGUAAAGUCAUUAAAUAACACCAAUUCUGUAAAAAAAAA